rnacentral:rRNA from 1 species
GGUGCCUUCGGGAACUGUGAGACAGGUGCUGCAUGGCUGUCGUCAGCUCGUGUUGUGAAAUGUUGGGUUAAGUCCCGCAACGAGCGCAACCCUUAUCCUUUGUUGCCAGCGAUUAGGUCGGGAACUCAAAGGAGACUGCCAGUGAUAAACUGGAGGAAGGUGGGGAUGAGGUCAAGUCAUCAUGGCCCUUACGACCAGGGCUACACACGUGCUACAAUGGCGCAUACAAAGAGAAGCGACCUCGCGAGAGCAAGCGGACCUCAUAAAGUGCGUCGUAGUCCGGAUUGGAGUCUGCAACUCGACUCCAUGAAGUCGGAAUCGCUAGUAAUCGUGGAUCAGAAUGCCACGGUGAAUACGUUCCCGGGCCUUGUACACACCGCCCGUCACACCAUGGGAGUGGGUUGCAAAAGAAGUAGGUAGCUUAACCUUCGGGAGGGCGCUUACCACUUUGUGAUUCAUGACUGGGGUGAAGUCGUAACAAGGUAACCGUAGGGGAACCUGCGGUUGGAUCACCUCCUU